rnacentral:rRNA from 1 species
CACGUAGGGCGCAAGCGUUGUCCGGAUUUAUUGGGCGUAAAGAGCUCGUAGGCGGUUCAGUAAGUCAGGUGUGAAACCUCCAGGCUCAACCUGGAGACGCCACCUGAUACUGCUGUGACUGGAGUCCGGUAGGGGAGCGUGGAAUUCCUGGUGUAGCGGUGGAAUGCGUAGAGAUCCGGAAGAACACCAGUGGCGAAGGCGGCUCACUGGACCGGUACUGACGCUGAUGCGCGAAAGCGUGGGGAGCAAACAGG